rnacentral:rRNA from 1 species
GAAGAUCAAGUCAGCGGUAAAAUUGAGAGGCUCAACCUCUUCGAGCCGUUGAAACUGGUUUUCUUGAGUGAGCGAGAAGUAUGCGGAAUGCGUGGUGUAGCGGUGAAAUGCAUAGAUAUCACGCAGAACUCCGAUUGCGAAGGCAGCAUACCGGCGCUCAACUGACGCUCAUGCACGAAAGUGUGGGUAUCGAACAGGAUUAGAUACCCUGGUAGUCCACACAGUAAACGAUGAAUACUAAUUGUUCGGGGAGAAUGAUCCCUGAGUGAUACAGCGAAAGCGUUAAGUAUUCCACCUGGGGAGUACGCCGGCAACGGUGAAACUCAAAGGAAUUGACGGGGGCCCGCACAAGCGGAGGAACAUGUGGUUUAAUUCGAUGAUACGCGAGGAACCUUACCCGGGCUCAAACGACACAGGAAUACUUUUGAAAGGAAGUAGCUCUACGGAGCCUGUGUCGAGGUGCUGCAUGGUUGUCGUCAGCUCGUGCCGUGAGGUGUCGGCUUAAGUGCCAUAACGAGCGCAACCCCCAUCGCCAGUUACCAGCAAGUCAAGUUGGGGACUCUGGCGAGACUGCCGGCGCAAGCUGUGAGGAAGGCGGGGAUGACGUCAAAUCAGCACGGCCCUUACGUCCGGGGCGACACACGUGUUACAAUGGCAGGUACAGAGAGAAGCAAUGCGGCGACGCAAAGCGGAACUUGAAAGCCUGUCUCAGUUCGGAUUGGAGUCUGCAACUCGACUCCAUGAAGCUGGAUUCGCUAGUAAUCGCGCAUCAGCCAUGGCGCGGUGAAUACGUUCCCGGGCCUUGUACACACCGCCCGUCAAGCCAUGGAAGCCGGGAGUGCCUGAAGUGUGCAACCGCAAGGAGCGCCCUAAGGUAAAACUGGUGACUGGGGCUAAGUCGUAACAAGGUAGCCGUAA